UACGAAGGGGGCUAGCGUUGCUCGGAAUCACUGGGCGUAAAGGGUGCGUAGGCGGGUCUUUAAGUCAGGGGUGAGAUCCUGGAGCUCAACUCCAGAACUGCCUUUGAUACUGAAGAUCUUGAGUUCGGGAGAGGUGAGUGGAACUGCGAGUGUAGAGGUGAAAUUCGUAGAUAUUCGCAAGAACACCAGUGGCGAAGGCGGCUCACUGGCCCGAUACUGACGCUGAGGCACGAAAGCGUGGGGAGCAAACAGG
rnacentral:rRNA from 1 species